UAUGUGUGCACCUGUGCCCCUGGGAACAAACCCUCAGCCUGAGGUUAACCUAACAUACAGUACUGUGGCCUGGAAGAAAGAAACCGACAACCGCAGACAAGCCCUGGUUUGUCCUUUUCAAGGAAUGUUGAUGCUAUAAUGGGGUAAUAUUUCUGGUGUAAUAGAAAUACCUGAGACUCUUUAUAUUGUUGUGUCUGAAAUAUAUCUGCAGGGCUCCACAGCAUCUGUAUCCACUAACAGCCCUGACUUGACCGCCAGCUCUGUGCCAAGUUCUAUAGAGCCUCAGGACCCUGCUGGUGUUGCUGAUGUGGUCUACAGCUCUGUAGCAAGAAGGCAAUGACAGGUGUGUUGUGACUAAUCCUGUCCAUCAGAUGGUGGCCCAUUCAAAUCCAUUCAAAUCCAUGGAACUUUUUGCAAC